rnacentral:tRNA from 1 species
GCCUUCGUGGUGUAGUGGUCUGCAUGCUCGACGCGUAUUCCAGAGGUCCAAGGUUCGACUCCUGGCGAAGGCA